CCACACCCAUUGGUCACCGACAUGCACAAACCCUACCCUUUCCAGCUCUCCCAAAUCGAUGCAGCCGCCUCCCCUCUCCCUCCCUUCCUCCCAAAACACGCCGGCCGCCUCCUCUCCACUUGCCAUACCGCGUCCCCGCUGCCGCCAUGGCCUCUUUAGGAGGCACGCCCCUCCAUGGUGCGAAGCAGCAGACCAGGAUCUGGAUGAGGAAGAGGAGAUCCGGGCGCCCCAACGGUGAAUCGAUCGAUGCGAGGUGACGACGAGCUCCUCCGUACACGGGGGAGCAGCGACGCCGGAGAUCCAUUCGGCGCAUGCGGGUCGAAGCUGCAGCGCUCCGGUCCCCAAGGCGCCUACAGGCUCGCUUCCUCCAUCCUCCCACGUCGAUCGCACCCCUCCUCCUGCAUCUCACCCAUCUCGAUGGAUGGCGUGCGGGCACGGAGGCGAGGUUCUCCGGCGGCGGCGGGAACCUCCAGGCAGAGAGCGACCCCAUGGAUCCGUCCCUUUAGGAGAGAAGGAAGGAGAGGAGACAUGCCAUGGAGAUGGGAUGAGUGCGCGACCCCAGGAUUUUGCGCUGCCGUCUUCUUUCGCCGGUCGGUGCCCUGGAAGAGCGACACCAGCCAGGCAUUGUAUGGGAUGGGUCUAUCAUGUUGGUAUUAGUUGUAGACUUCCUUGCUGAACCCUACAGGGAGCAAUGCAUCACCAGUUUGCUUCUAGAGAAGGAAGGGGAAGAGGUGAACCUGCUUGUUCUUCAUUGGUUCCUAAAUAAAUAUCUAAUCUGUAAUAUUUUGUUAUAUCUAUGCUCAGUUACAAUUACAACAUGGGGCUUCAAGUGUCUAUUACUAUGGAUCACCAAUAUUUUUUUAUAUCCGUGCAUUUCAGUUAUGACUAAGUGCCACACCAAUGAAUGUGAAUGUCUGUUCAGGUAAUAAGUAUCACCAUUAGCAAUUUCGGUUUGUCUCCAUAGUCUAUUUGUGUCCCAUGUCCUUUCAGUACCUUCUUCUAUUUUCCUGCAUUUUCGCGUACCAUGCUGCAAUGUUGCAUUAGUUUUUGGCCGAAACUUCUUGCCUAGAUAUGGCCAUUUUAUUUUUGCUACACCAUGGUUAGUUAGCUGAGCCAUUUAAAUACAAUUUCAGGGUUUUCUUGUUGCUACUAUUCCCCGUGGAUAUUCAAGAGGCAACUUGGCACCUAAUGUCAGCAACGUGCUUAUCGGUGACGAGGGAAAUGAAAGAAGGCUGCAAUGGAAUUUGUACUAGAUCAGAUUUUGGCCAUAUAAUUGCCGGUGACUGGAAGUCUAAAACUGAAGAUAGGGCAGAUUGUUUUGAUUCCGAUUACUUGGAGAUCUUGUGGCUUGCUGUCCCUGGAUCAGUCAGACCUACGGCAGCAUCAACUCGUUGAUCCUAGAGGCCAUGGUUCUCGAGGUAAGAAAUAUAAGCACACUAGAGAGAAUCCCUAUGCCAUAUGAACAAAUCUCUUUCUCAUCCAUGCAAUCUCUUCAUAUCUCAAAUCCCCGCCGAAGUGCCUUCACCUUGAUAUCGGCACAUAUGACUUCAGGAUGGUUGUAAUAUUUAUUUUAGAGGAUCUGCACUUCGAGAAACAAAGUAUAUGUAAGCUAUUAGGAAGCCUGAAAGAUUCAUAAAAAUAGUAAGCAUAUGAGUUCUGAUAAAUCAAACGGCACCUCUUAUCAAUCAUUGUAAUGGAUGUUCUGCAAGAUAAACAUUAUUUGACUAGCUCCCCUUAAUUAGUGGGACUUGAGAGUAAUGUAGAAUGUUUAUUUUAGCAGUCUUUAAGGUGCAAAAUAUGUGUUCUGUGAUACCAGUUUCUUGCUUUAUUUUGCUAACUGAUCACAACUACCAUUUUAGUGAACACAUUAUGAGCUGGAAAUUGUACAUUAGAAACUCUUGACAACGCAUUGCAAGUUCCAUGUUGGGAUCCUUCGCUAUAUAUUCCAGGCAGAAGAUUGAAUGGAAAAUCAAGAUGAACAUUUGUGUGUGUGUGAGAAUUUGUAUCUCUUUACUUAAUCUGAAAUCUAAAGUAGUAAUUCUCAGCCUCAGGGCUAUGUGGUGCGCUCGAAGUGACAGAAAAGGAAGAUAUUUGGGCAUAUGAACCCUGGAAAGAGUUUGAUGGUAGCAUAGAGAAAGCAGGUAGUCAGUACCAAAUGAAGAGAAAUAUUGGAAUCAUGUCAUUCCUAGGAGGCAGUUUUCCGGUUGAUCCGAGAUAUAUUUGUUGCUAUACCAAGUGCGACUUUUCUUUAUAGGGGAAACAUUUUCCUACAUUCUUUUAAACAGUAUGGUCCUUCUAUGGUAGCAAACUCUGGUCAAGUAUCUUUCAUUUCCUAUACUGAGAAGUAGCUUUACUUUUUCUUGACA